GCGUCGGUGGUGCAAGGUGCACACUGCUCUCGAAUAAUUGUGGAUUGAUUAUAGAUGUCGAGUUUAGCGGCGUGGGGUUAGAUUCCCCACUGGUGCA